rnacentral:rRNA from 1 species
UAAACAUAGACAGUUUACAUACCCCACUGUCCGCCUGGGAACUACGAGCGCCAGCUUAAAACCCAAAGGACUUGGCGGUGCUUUAAACCCACCUAGAGGAGCCUGUUCUAGAACCGAUAAUCCCCGUUCAACCUCACCCUUCCUUGUUCUUUCCGUCUAUAUACCACCGUCGUCAGUUUACCCUGUGAAGGUCAAACAGUAAGCAUAAUCGGCAUAGCCCAAAACGUCAGGUCGAGGUGUAGCGUAUGGAGGGGGAAGAAAUGGGCUACAUUCCCUAGCAUUAGGGCACACGGAUGACAUACUGAAACGCAUGUCUGAAGGAGGAUUUAGCAGUAAGCAGGAA